rnacentral:misc_RNA from 1 species
GGAGGGAUCAUUAACACGUAUCCAAACGUUUUUUAUUAAACAAACCCCAAUUGCGAACAUUAAGUCCUCCACGAGACACGGCGAUUGUGAGCCAUAGGUGAAAGGUUGGGUUAUCAUUGGUGUUGCUGCAACACCUAGGUAGCUCCGCUGGCGCUGCAAUCUACUAAUUGGUCGAUAAGGCCUACCGACAUAUCGUUUGGUUGUAUUAACUCACCUGGUGCUCGCGCCACCUCAGCAUGACUCCUUGAUAGCCAAGCCUGUAUUCUCGCAUGACUCUCGGGUUGUGAGAUACUUAUACAGAUUCCCUUGGUGGUCGGUAUCUAACCUGAAGCCGAGUUGCCUUAUUUAACACCUCACUAAUAAUUGAGACUACUGACAUAGACACAUUCCGAUUGUUGACUCAAUCAUGUGUAUUACGAAACAAUGAACAACUCUUAGCAACGGAUAUCUUGGUUCUCGUACCGAUGAAGAACGCAGCGAAAUGCGAUACGUAAUGCGAAUUGCAGAAUUCAGUGAAUCAUCAAAUCUUUGAACGCAAAUUGCGCUCUCGGGAUAGCCCUGGGAGCAUGCCUCUCUGAGUAUCGGUUCCAUAUCAUCUUGACACCUUUGUGUUUACAUGAAGUUCUUGUCAGAAAAUGAGCGUCUCGGCGUGUCUGAAUCACUUCAGCCGGGUCACUUGAAAUAUAUAAAGAAAGAAGUGUUCAGAAACUCCUGCUAUACUCCAAUAGCUUCUUGAUUUCAUAUUGAAUUUUAACUCCUUGCGAGUGCAAUUUGAUGGGUCAGUCGUAAUUUGUUUUAGCUGGUGACGUAGAUAGAAUGCCUUCGGGUGUUUUGAAAACGUCAAUGCCAGUUUUAAUGAUGGGCUUUCUUGUUAGUUGUAGUCGGCCUGAUUCGGACAGAGGUUAUUAAAAAUUUGAUGUGGUUAAAAAUUGAGUAGUGAACAUAGAGCAGUCGAGGACGCUGAGCCCUUUCUAUAAUCUAAGGAAACAACACAAUUGCUUGCAAUUGCUUGUUUUGAAAUAGAUCUCAGAUGAAGCAAGAAGACCCCCUGAAUUUAAGCAUAUUAUUAAGGGGAGGAAAAGAAACUAACAAGGAUUCCCCUAGUAACGGCGAGUGAAGCGGGAAGAGCUCAAAUUGAAAAUCGUGAGUCCAUGCGGGUUCACGAAUUGUAGCCUAGAGACGUACUGUCAGCACGUGACCCAGGUAUAAAUCCUUUGAAACAGGGUAUCAUAGAGGGUGAGAAUCCCGUCUUUGACCUGGAGAUCGCCGCGUACGACGUGCGUUCGUCGAGUCGAGUUGUUUGGGAUUGCAGCUCUAAAUGGGUGGUAAAUUUCAUCUAAAGCUAAAUAUUGACGAGAGACCGAUAGCGAACAAGUACCGUGAGGGAAAGAUGAAAAGAACUUUGAAAAGAGAGUUAAAAAGUACUUGAAAUUGUUAAGAGGGAAGCGCUGGAAACCAGUCAUUACCUGUGAUUAUACUUACUGAUUGCUGUUGUUUUCGCUGUUGCAGAUCAGAGCGUAAGCCUGAACGGAUGACGAGGGCAGCAGUGGCCGGGUCAUGUAGUCAUGGGUGGGUCAGAAUCAAUUCGAUUCGCGGGUGAAGGCCACGAGGAAGGUAGGGUUUCCGGACCUGUUAUAGCCUUGUGGUCCUACCGUAGGUUGGAUUGAGGAUGUAUAAUGUGCGCCGCAAGGUUUCGGUGCUCUCGUGUCUGCUGGGUUAGUUGCUUUGUAGAACAAUGUUCUGCGGGUGACGAAGCUUGGUACUACGUGGGAAACACCAGAUGCACAUUCGCGAUUCUGACGAAAUGGUUUUCAUCGACCCGUCUUGAAACACGGACCAAGGAGUCUAACAUGUAUGCGAGUAUUUGGGUGGAAAACCCUGAUGCGUAAUGAAAGUGAAGACAGCUUCGGCUGUUGAGGUAGGAAUCCGUAUUUCUAUAUGGAGGCACUAUCGACCGAUCGUCACUUGUGAUAGAUUUGAGUAAGAGCAUAUCUGUUGGGACCCGAAAGAUGGUGAUCUAUGCCUGAACAGGGUGAAGCCAGGGGAAACUCUGGUGGAGGCUCGUAGCGAUACUGACGUGCAAAUCGUUCGUCUGAUUUGGGUAUAGGGGCGAAAGACUAAUCGAACCAUCUAGUAGCUGGUUCCCUC